CUCACUCCAGACCUAUUCCUUUCUGUCCUGGACGAGGAUGGCAAGGCUUACCUCACCGAGGAGGACUUCCAUAGAUUCUCCACUGUUCUGCUCUACUACAUGAUCAACAUGGAAGACCUAUGUACCCCCAAUGUCUCCCCCUCCUCUUCCUCCUCCUCUUUGUCACCUAGCUACCAGUACUACCUCCUAGCCCUGACCAACCUCCAUCCCACUGAGGACCGAGGUUUCCUCUCUUCCAAUGAGACAGAGAGCAUUCUGCAGCUCAUCAACCAGCACUACCAACCGCCUGCUCCAUAGAACUCUGGUUCCUCCCACUCACAGAUUACAUCUUCCAGUCCCUCAACCACACCAGCAAACUCCAUAUCAUGGAUUUGGAGGAGCUGCUGCACCUGCUUGGUGUGGGAGGCGGA